UACCAGCUCUCCGAGUGGUAGGGAUGAUUAUUGGGCUUAAAGCGUCCGUAGCCUGCUUAGCAAGUUUCCUGUUAAACUCAGCGACUCAAUCGUUGGAUCGCGGGAAAUACUACUAGGCUAGGAGGCGGGAGAGGUCAACAGUACUUCUGGGGUAGGGGUGAAAUCCUAUAAUCCCGGGAGGACCACCAGUGGCGAAGGCUGUUGACUAGAACGCGCUCGACGGUGAGGGACGAAAGCUGGGGGGAGCGAACCGGAUUAGAUACCCGGGUAGUCCCAGCUGUAAACGAUGCGAGCUAGGUGUUGGGAUGGCUACGGGCCAUUUCAGUGCCGCAGGGAAGCCAUUAAGCUCGCCGCCUGGGGAGUACGGCCGCAAGGCUGAAACUUAAGGAAUUGGGCGGGGGGCACCACAAGGCGUGAAGCUUGCGGUUC
rnacentral:rRNA from 1 species